rnacentral:tRNA from 1 species
GCCCAGAUGGUGAAAUUGGUAGACACGCUACUUUGAGGGGGUAGUGCUCGUUAAGGGCGUGCAAGUUCGAGUCUUGUUCUGGGCA